rnacentral:lncRNA from 1 species
CACUGUCUAUGUGUCCUGACCCACCUUGCUUUAUCCCUCAGGGACUGGUAAUUGCUCAGACGAUUGCGCUCCCCAAACGGGACUCUAGCAACACAUCAGAGUACUCGGUAAUGUGUAUUAAGGUCUACGCUGAGUAUGGUAACACCAGGCAGCUUUCCAUAAUUGCAGAUUGAGACUGGCAGAAUUUUCAGUAACAAGCUCUGCUGGACAAAAACUAAAGAAUUAUACGAGAUUUGAAGACUGAAACUGAAUGCCAUAGAAGUAUGUAGGUUUCUUGUGUGUUCUUGUGCACGUUCUGAAGGUCACUGAAGUGUGAUGCAAGAAAUCUACCCU